GCCCUAUAGAUAUCAUGCAGUCGAGCGAACUGAUUAGAAGCUUGCUUCUAUGACGUUAGCGGCGGACGGGUGAGUAACACGUGGGCAACCUGCCUGUAAGACUGGGAUAACUUCGGGAAACCGAAGCUAAUACCGGAUAGGAUCUUCUCCUUCAUGGGAGAUGAUUGAAAGAUGGUUUCGGCUAUCACUUACAGAUGGGCCCGCGGUGCAUUAGCUAGUUGGUGAGGUAACGGCUCACCAAGGCAACGAUGCAUAGCCGACCUGAGAGGGUGAUCGGCCACACUGGGACUGAGACACGGCCCAGACUCCUACGGGAGGCAGCAGUAGGGAAUCUUCCGCAAUGGACGAAAGUCUGACGGAGCAACGCCGCGUGAGUGAUGAAGGCUUUCGGGUCGUAAAACUCUGUUGUUAGGGAAGAACAAGUACGAGAGUAACUGCUCGUACCUUGACGGUACCUAACCAGAAAGCCACGGCUAACUACGUGCCAGCAGCCGCGGUAAUACGUAGGUGGCAAGCGUUAUCCGGAAUUAUUGGGCGUAAAGCGCGCGCAGGCGGUUUCUUAAGUCUGAUGUGAAAGCCCACGGCUCAACCGUGGAGGGUCAUUGGAAACUGGGGAACUUGAGUGCAGAAGAGAAAAGCGGAAUUCCACGUGUAGCGGUGAAAUGCGUAGAGAUGUGGAGGAACACCAGUGGCGAAGGCGGCUUUUUGGUCUGUAACUGACGCUGAGGCGCGAAAGCGUGGGGAGCAAACAGGAUUAGAUACCCUGGUAGUCCACGCCGUAAACGAUGAGUGCUAAGUGUUAGAGGGUUUCCGCCCUCUAGUGCUGCAGCUAACGCAUUAAGCACUCCGCCUGGGGAGUACGGUCGCAAGACUGAAACUCAAAGGAAUUGACGGGGGCCCGCACAAGCGGUGGAGCAUGUGGUUUAUUUCGAAGCAACGCGAGAACCUUACCAGGUCUUGACAUCCUCUGACACUCUAGAGAUAGAGCGGUUCCCUUCCGGGACAGAGUGGAC
rnacentral:rRNA from 2 species